rnacentral:rRNA from 1 species
AACGCGAAGAACCUUACCAAAUCUUGACAUCCUUUGAAAACUCUAGAGAUAGAGCCUUCCCCUUCGGGGGACAAAGUGACAGGUGGUGCAUGGUUGUCGUCAGCUCGUGUCGUGAGAUGUUGGGUUAAGUCCCGCAACGAGCGCAACCCUUAAGCUUAGUUGCCAUCAUUAAGUUGGGCACUCUAGACUGACUGCCGGUGACAGACCGGAGGAAGGUGGGGACGACGUCAAAUCAUCAUGCCCCUUAUGAUUUGGGCUACACACGUGCUACAAUGGACAGGUUACAAAGGGCAGCGACGCCGCGAGGCCAAGCGAAUCCCAUAAAACUGUUCUCAGUUCGGAUUGGAGUCUGCAACUCGACUCCAUGAAGCUGGAAUCGCUAGUAAUCGUAGAUCAGCAUGCAACGGUGAAUACGUUCCCGGGUCUUGUACACACCG